rnacentral:rRNA from 1 species
GAGUUUGAUCUUGGCUCAGGAUGAACGCUAGCGGCAGGCUUAAUACAUGCAAGUCGUGGGGCGAGCAAGGGUUGUAGCUAAUACAAUCGCUGGCGACCGGCAAACGGGUGCGUAACACGUACGCAACCUUCCCGUUACUGUGGCAUAGCCCAGGGAAACUUGGAUUAAUACCCACAUAUUACUAUUGAGGGGGCAUCCUCUUGAUAUCAAAGCUUCGGCGGUAACGGAUGGGCGUGCGGUUGAUUAGGUAGUUGGCGGGGUAACGG